UGCCAGCAGCCGCGGUAAUACGGAGGGGGUUAGCGUUGUUCGGAAUUACUGGGCGUAAAGCGCGCGUAGGUGGAUGAUUAAGUCAGAUGUGAAAGCCCAGGGCUUAACCUUGGAACUGCAUUUGAUACUGGUCAUCUUGAGUACAGUAGAGGGAGGUGGAAUUUCAGGUGUAGCGGUGAAAUGCGUAGAUAUCUGAAGGAACAUCAGUGGCGAAGGCGGCCUUCUGGACUGAUACUGACACUGAGGUGCGAAAGCGUGGGGAGCGAACAGGAUUAGAUA
rnacentral:rRNA from 1 species